GCCCCACUGCGCAGGCGCGGGCGCAGGUGCGUGCCGUUUGAAAGUAUGGCGCCUGCGGGCCCGUGGCUGGUUCUGUGUGAGGAGAAGAUCCGGGAGAAGAGCGGCCUGGCGCCUCACCACGACCUGGCUGAACUUCGGUCAUUAUCUAUUCCUGGAACUUACCAAGAAAAGAUUACUCACCUAGGAAAUUCCUUGAUGCAUUUAACGGGUCUAAAAUCAUUAGACCUCUCACGCAACUCCUUGGUGAGCCUAGAGGGCAUUCAGUACCUGACUGCGUUGGAAAGUCUCAAUCUCUACUACAACAGUAUCUCCUCAUUAGCAGAAGUGCUUUGGCUCCACUCCUUGACGGAACUCACAGAUGUGGACUUCCGGCUGAACCCCGUCGUAAAGAAUGAAUCUGAUUACCGCCUUUUUGUUGUGUACAUGCUCCCGAAGCUCCGGCAGCUAGAUGACCGUCCUGUGAGAGACAGUGAGCGGAAAGCAUCCCGGCUACAGUUUGCAUCAGAGGAGUCACUCAACUCGAAGCAGAGCUUCCCAGCCGUUUUCACAGCCGGAAGACUGUGUCACUCUAGGGCCAUGUGUGCUGACCCCUCGGCCAAGAAAUGCUUGGUCAUGGAUGCAGAUGACGAGGCAGUCCUGAAUCUCAUCGCUGAGUGUGAGUGGGACUUGAGCAACCCUCCUGGGAGCACAAGUUCCAGCCUGAGGGAGCAAGAGACUGACCUCCAUAGUUCCCAAGACUCUGGACAUCUGUUGAGUCCCCACUCAAUGCAGCACCAGUGUGGGGACUCCAUAAAGAAGGGCCACGAGAGGAAGAAAGGCAGCUCUCGAGGGUGUGGUCCAGAGAAGAGGCUCCAGCACCAGUACUGUGGGGAGCUCCCGCCACAGUGUGGGCCGCAUGCACACUUUACCCCACACCCAGAUUCCGCAGACAUUGAGGACCCAGCCGUGUCUCAGAAGUCAAGUUUGUCCACACAAAAGGUGGUAAAUCCAUUGCCUGUUCCUGAAAAGUACAGGAAGCGAAGAAUGCCUGGUGGGAGAUUCCAGGCACCCGCCAACCAGGAGUUUCUGAGCCACCUGGAGAAGCCUGCCAUGCCCUCGAGCCCUGAGGAGACUCUGAGCAGGCACAGUGCCUCCGAGGGCAGGAGUGAAAGGACCUUUUCUCACUCAGAGGUCUCAGAGCCAGAAGAGGAGAGGCCCCACAGCAGGAGUGGCAGCGGAGAGGUGGCUCCCAGACUGUAUUCAGCUGUGCCUCCUGGGAAGAAGGCUGCCCUGGAGGUGAUGCUUCUUGAGGCACUCCUCGACCUGGUGGACAGGUACUGGAGUGGCUGCAAGUCCCUGCAUGGCAAUGAGGUGUUCCAAGCUCAGGCAAGACAUAUUUUGUCAUCUGUGCAAGAAUUUACAACAACUCAGGAUAGUUCAACACUUGUGAGUGAAGAAAUUAGCUACCUUACUCUGGAAAAUAAAUCUCUACAGAAGCACCUUGCUGAGCAGCAGCAGCAGUACCGUGUAAAGAUUAAUGAGGUGGCAUCAGAACUAAGCAACACACAGAAGGAGAUGGAUGACUUGAGGCAACAUUUAGACAAAUCUUUGGAAGAGAAUAGUAGCUUAAAGGCUCUUUUGUUCAGCAUGAAAAAAGAAGCAAAAAAUGCAGACACUGCGGCUACAUUAAAUGUGCAGAUCACUGGACUUCAAACAAGUGUGAAGAGGCUCUCUGAUGAGAUUGUGGAAUUAAAGCAGCAUCUGACACACUAUGACAAGAUCCAGGAGCUCACCCAGAUGCUUCAGGAGAGCCACAGCUCAACACCAUUUUUGCCAUUCCGCCUGGCUCACCCCCUGCUAAUCCAUUUGGCAAACCGUCAGUGUUCUAGAACCAGGUCCUGUGGAGGCAUUCGCCGCUGCACAAGGACAGCUAUGGGAGCAGGAUCCUGAGUGGGACACCCCGCAGCACUCUGCAGCACCCCGCAGGCAGCUGUCCAUGCCCGUAAGCAGAGGGCCUACGAAGCCAAGAACAGGCUGAGGAUCUGAUAACCUCACAGCCAUGGGGACAAACCCGCACAAGGCUUUGCGCAAAGGCGGUCCAGCAGAGAGAGACGUCUUCUCAACAGAUGGUGUGGGGACAGCCGGCGACCCAGCUCUGAGCUACGCCUUGCAGUGCAUACAGAAAUUAAACCCCAGCCCUAGAUUAAUCAUAAAUCCUAAAACUAUAAACUUCGGGAAGAGUUCUAACAAAAUCUUUGUGACCUCGGGUGAGGCAAUGAUUUCUUAGAAAUGGCACCAAAAUAGUCCAUAAGAGAAAAGAAAAGAAAUUGGAAUUCACCAAAAUUUUAAAAACCACGCCCUUCAAAAGACGCGGUUAUGAGGGUCCCACAACCAGCUGCAGGCGGGGAGGGAACACGUACAGACAGCUGAAAUGGACAACCCUUCAAACUCAACCAUAGGAACAACCGAACGUCAAACACUUGAGUAGAAACCCUGAACCAAACGGCGUCUCCAGAAGACUCGACAGCAAACCCUGAGCCCACCUGGCCCAUGGUGAGGGCCCAGUGCACACCCACGGGACACCUGGUGGGACUAAAGUGCUCACACGAGCACUUGAGAGGGCGUGGGCAGCAGGGCGCUCAGACCCGGUGUCCACUCAGGCAGGUGGCAGUUAGGGCUCCCGCUCCCCGCACCUGGGCUCUAUGGGAGAAACAGACUGGAGCCCCACGUGAACUACGAGCCAAGUGUCCUUCAGCAGCGAAGGGACGGACAGAACACACGGGGGCUCCAGGGCGCCUUAUGUGUGUGUCUGAAGCCAGCCUGGAUGCUGAGCACAGCCCCCUCUCCCCCCAGUCCAUCCUGUGGCACUGGUCCCAACCACACCGCAGGGGCUGGUGACCUGGUGGACACAGGGCUUCCCCAAAUCCAGUGGUGGGCAGUGGGUCCUGCUCCCGAAGCAAUCAGCUUUGACCCCCGUGCAGCCUCCGAGCAGAACCCCUGGAGCAGCACAGUCCCCACAACAGCGGCCCCACACGGAGAACCCUGCGUGCCUUGCCACCCAGCGAGGCCCUGUUUGUUUGUCUCCAGCCAUCAAAGGCACUCCUGUCUCCUCUUCACGCCCUGCCCAGGCAGCGUGUGGAUGCCAGGCCUGACGGCCAGCCCAGUGACUGGCUGCCGGAGCACGCAGCCCUCUCUGGGCACCGCGGCACCAGGCGCCACCAGUGUGAGUCACUUGGGCUGGGGGUGGGGGGAUGGCUGAUGGGGACUCCUGCCAGAGGCCACAUUCAGAUCUGGUGGACACACAGGCCUCAGGCUGACUUGCCCGCUCCACCUGGCUGGGCUGGGUGUCCCCAAGUGUCCCCACCGUGACUGCCCAGCAAGGAGUUCGCCCCAGGGGACCCGGCGCCCUGCUGCAGAGAGUUGUCCCCAGCAAGUUCUAGAAUGACAAUGCCUGUCUCUUCCCCAGAGACACUGAUCACAUUACACCGCUCUCUGGACACAGAGUGAGCCUGUUCUCCAGAGUUCACAGAACUGGAGGGUGUCCCCACAAUGAAUCCCCUCUCUCCCCAGCUCCAGGCUGGGCCGGCCCUGCAGUGAGGGGGUCACUGGUCACACAAGGCCCUGUGAGCUGGGGUUUCACUUUGCUUCCCAAGCCCUGUGUCCCCCAGGCCUCUAACCUAACUGUGGGCGGGCAGGGGGCUGGACCCUGCCAGUGCCAGAGGUCACCCAGGGACAUCAAGGAGCCAGGCAAGGACCAGCACAGCCCUCCAGAGACAGAUUUAUGUGUGAGAACCGCACACUCCUCACCAGCACCUCCGAGCAUCGGGUUCGAUGGCACUCCCGGGAGCCCCUCUCUCAGAGGUGGUGCCGGCGUCCUGGCUCAUCAGAUAACUUGCCACCCCCGGCUGGAAGUUGCUGGCUUUCCCUGGCUCCCCUGACCCUCCAAGCCAGGGCCCUGGAUGACCUGUCCAGACAGCCAUCUGGCCAGCCAGGACACCAGUGCAGGCAGGAAGUGGGGCGUUGAGGGGCCACUUAGGGCCCUGGUGAGGCUCCGUGGGAAGAAGGGGCCCCUGGGAACCUCGCUGUGGACGUGACCUGGAGCGGCUCCGACUGCAUGCUGUGCCCCAGGAGGACCACCUACUGCGGUCACACCUGCCCCGGCUCCCGCCCACGGCUCCCCUCUGCCACUGACGGCUGCGAUGCUGCCCCUGACCUGGGCGCCCCCCGCCACCCCUAACUGCCAUCCUGGCUAUGUCAUGGGGUGGGCUGUGGGGACGGAUAACGUGGAGGUCACCGAAACCAUUUCUGGGUGUUUGGCAAAGGUCAUCCUCUUAAAAGGCCAUCGUGCAUGGGACCCCGCGCCCACAUCAACCUGGCGAGGAGCCAGCAGGCCAGGAACAACCUGGUUCCUGUGCUGUGCGGCCUUGACCCUGGCCGCAGAGGCUCUGUGCUGCCUGUCACCUGCCCACCACUGCUGACCCUGAAUCCCACGCAGCCUGGAGCGAGGAGCCCCCAGGCCCAUCAGGGCUCCACCCGCCCCUCCUGCGGGCGCCAACCCCCAUGGUGUCCUGGGGGAUCCCCCGCCCCAGGCACUGGACAUGGUGGCGAGUGUUUGCCAUUCCAGCUCCCUGCCUGAGACCGUUCCCGCCAUGCCCUGGCCGGGGCCACAGGGCAUGUGGCAAGAACGGAGCAGGUUGGUGGCCCACAGGCCGCAGGGAGCCCCGCCAGCCCGCUGCUUCCUAACCUGCUCAGUCGGCGGCACCCGCCCAGGUGGGAAACAGCCCCUCACUGCGAACACAGGGCACCCAGGAAACACGCGAGGCUGAUGGAGACGCCCGCCGCCCUCUGCACCCUCGGGCCUGGCCUCUACGCCUGUGCCUGACCUGAGCACAAGCACGCAGGCAGGACGGGCCGUCAUCCUGGGCUCCCCAAAUAGGGCUUUCAGGGUGACAUUCCUACUGUGCACCCAAGUCUGGACUAAUUAAUAUUUCAGACUGCCCCGUCGGCUCCUCGGGUUGGGAGGGUGCAGGAGCCUUUGUCUCCGUAACAAUAGUGUUCAAUCAAGACCUGGUGUGGAGCUGCAAGAAAUUUGUUUAAAAUUUAACACAUAGUAACAUCAAAACAAACAAGCGCUGCCGUGGCAACAGGACCUAAACAAAGCCCGCAGAUACCCGGGCUGGCGCCACCGCCCGCGGAGCCAUGGCAACCGCCCGCAAACAGAGAGCGGGUGCCUCUCCACCAGUCAGCGCCUCGGAGCUUCCACGCCUUCCACGCCGUGGCUCCCACGAGGCACGGGCGCUCCUGCCGUGACCGCCGCUUGGAGGAACUGCCCAAGACCCCUUGGCGCAUGUGCCUGCCACCACCCCCCUGACAAGGCCAAAUGAAAACAACUUUUAACAGGCUCCUUGGGGUCUCCGGACGGGGGACCCCAUGACCCUUCCAGGGACAAGGGCAGGGGCCCCCACCACACCCUCCAAGGUGCCCCGCAAGCCUACCCAGGCAAGGGCCCUGUGCCUGCUCCCUGGUAGGUGCCCUUGGGGCCAGCGCAGCUUAGUGUGACUGUUGUGACCAUGACCCCAUGCCGGGCUGAGGGCACCACUGCCCCCUCACCAGACAGUCCCUGCCUCAGCCUAUAAGUGAGCACUGUCCGCCCCGCUCCCAGGACAGGGACUGCAACCAGAUGGGGCUCCCCUCCUGGGGCCCACAUGAGUGACGCCAGUGCACCACAGGUGGGCAGAAGGACCCCCAUUCCUCCCUGGCUGGUGGGCUGCCCGUGCCUCCUGCACACAGGGUCUCCGGGCCUGUCUGGGGCACCUGCCCUUGGAAUGAGCCACCUCCCCACCACCUAGGGUGUGGAGAGCCUGAGUUCGACCUGCGAGUGCACCUGCAUGCAACGGUGCACGUGUGUGCAUAUGUGUGCAAAAGCCCACAUGCAGCAGCUCGGAGGCAGUUUAAGUGGCAGGAACAGACGGCCACAGAAGAGCCCCAGUCUCCUGUCCCCGGCGGUUCAACGUGUGUGCUGGCGCCGGGGGUAUGGGAGCCAGUGGCGCCUCCUGCCUCCUUCCCCAGUGGCCAUGGCAGUCAGCAUGGUUCUCCCGCUCCCGGUCUGUCCAUGUCUCCUGGGUGCACAUGGUGUCCCAAGGCCCAAUGCUCAGGACCUGGAGGACACCCCAGGAAAGGGCGUGGGGAGACCCUGUGGGGCCUCCUCGGGGCUCCUGUUGGCGUGUGGGAGCUCGCGCUCCGUGAAAGCUCUGUGCCGCAGACACGUCCUGACGUCUGGGGGUCGGCCAGCACAGCUGCACCUGUCUGAGACCACCCUGGACCGUCCCCGGGAGCCACACCGCAGACCGCCUGGCAUUUCUGAGCAGGGAGAGCAGGUCAGACCACCCGGCGGAGGCUGCGGCGCCAGAGAGCCUCUGAAGCCCUUCCGCUGAGGACCCCACGCCGGAGCCCAGUCCCUGCUGCUGAGAGCAUCUCCACAGUCCAGGGCCAGAGGGACAGCAAGUGGAGGGACCCCUGCAGGCUGCCAGGCGGGCGUCCCGGGGCGGUGGGGGAGGCGGGCUCCGCGGGCCUCACGGACACACGGGAGAGGACAAGAUGCAGCCCCCACCCGGCCCCCUCCCCUAUGGGCACCACCUCCCUGGCUCGCCCCUCCUGGGAAUGUCCUUGGUCAUGAGGCCACGCCCCCCAGACUCCCCAACCCAUGGUCCCUGCUCUGUGGGAGUGACCCUGGGGACAGGCGGACUUGACCCUGGGGACAGGCGGACUUGGCUGAGCAGCGCACAGCUCUUUCUCUCCAGGGUCAGCCUGUGGCCCAGGAGGAACUAGAGGAAACCCCAAGGCGUGGCAAAAGGGAGGCCCAGUCGCUGCAGAUGCAGACGGAAGACACUGUUCAUGGCCAAAUGCAUGGGGGGCCCAGUCAUGAGCAGGGAGGACACAUAGUCCUCACAUGGAAGAUGCCCAGGUGACGGCACACUGUGACCCAGACGAACACGUGUCGCUAAUAAGCUGAAAGCUACUUUCCAACAACAGCCAACAAGCAGUGGACACCAGGUAGCCUCGGGGGCACCGCUGCUUUUCGCAGGCCUGGUCAUGGCAUUUGCAAGGCAGGAGGAGGCCCUUGGGCCGGAGGGCCCCCAGCGGAAUGGGGGGGCGGGUAACGAUGCCUGACACCCCUGCGUCCAGGAGGAAGCUGUCACCGAGUCCAGGCUGGAUGCACCGAUGCCAGCGGUUCUGUCGUCAACGUUCACCGCGCUCACCCAGGGCCGCGCUGCCCGCCUGCCCACCCACCCGAGGGACCUGCUCUCGCCCCACGGCCAGUGCAGCGGCCCACGGGCCGGGCCCCCACCCAAGGCACCCCGACAUCCCAUCCCGAGCAGGGAGGGGCCCCAGAGGUGAGGCCUGGCCGGGACUUACUUGAUUUUGCUGAAGACGAUGUCCACGUCGGUGACAGUCACGUUCUUCCCGUCGAUGACCUGGCAGUCCUUACACAGUUUCGACCAGUUCUUGCCGUGCAUCUCCUUCCCGGUGGCCCUGGUGUCCCCGUGCACAGCAAACCGCCGGAAGGCCUCCUCCAGGGCGCUGAGCUCCGGGGCCGUGGCCGCCGCCCCCUCGGGGGCACCUUCCGUCUCCAGCGACAGCCUCUUGGCUGCCCUGUCCUUUGCAGGGUCUCCUGGGGACUUGGGGGGCGUCUUGUUGGCGGCCUUGGCGGACUUGGCCUUACUGUCAGCCAUGUUGCUGGGGGGGGGAGCGGAGAAGGGUCACCGGGCCCCCGAGGGGCCACACACAUCAGAAUGGGCGCCACCCUCCUGCCCGCCACCGUGCCACCGUGUCCUCCCCAGAACGACAGCCUUCCCGCGAUGGGAGGGGGACUCACAGCUGAGCCUGGCGACCUAGCACCCAGGGGCCCGGGGUGGGGGGGACGACCCGUGCCAGGGAGGCCACCAUAGGGUCCCUGCUGUCAGGAGCUCGGCAGAGCCGGCUGCCACCUGUCCGUGGGUCUCUGCCUUUGUGGGGCACCUGGUCCCCAAGCUGGUGGGUCCCUGCGGACCACAGGGGCUUGCCCGCCCCGUCGCUGUGUCACAGCUGCUGGCCCAGGCAGGAGCUGGGGAUGCCUGAGCCCCUCAGGGGUGUGCGGCCGUCCCAGAGGAGCUGUGGGUGGCCGUCCAGGCCUCGGGGGCUCAGCAGGAGGGGAAUGCAGCUUGGACAGCAGAGCCCACAGGUGGUGGCGCCCCCCGCUCCCCUCACCGCUGCCCACCUGAGUUCCCCGCACCAGCUUGCCCAGAGGAGGCCAGGGCACAGCACCCGGGCUGGGGGCGGCCGUACGGACGGAGACGGUCAGCAGAGCCAGGUCAGCUCAACGCCACCUGAUGUCCUCAAAGGCAACAGCCCCCAGCCGUCCCUGCAUCCCCAGGGGGCCGCAGAAGUAUAGCCGCAGGACCAGGACCCGUGUCCACGGAGCUCCAGCAGCAGGACGAUGGUGGAGACAUGGGUCGGACCCUCAGGGCUCCCACCCACCUGGGACAGGGAGCGCCCGCCCUCACGGGGACUCAGAACACAGGCCAGGUGACACCGUCGCUUCCAGUAUUAUCAGUGACACCAUUUCUUUGUCUGAAACAGGAGCUUGCUGGGCUGAGGUGGGAGGGCUCACAUCCCGGGCACUCCUUCCUGUCCUUUGAUAAAUCCCUGUGCUGUUUCUAA